UAUAUUAAAUAUAUAUAUAUAUAUAAAAUAAAUAAAUAUAUAUAUAUAAAUAUAUUAUAAAUAUUAUGGUACGAGAUUGAAUAUAAUAGUAAUGAAUAUAUAUAUUAUAUAUAUUCUGUGUCGAGGGCACUUGGCUUGCAACUCGUAAAUAUUAAACUGAAUAAACUUAUUUAUCCACUUGCACUCCAAUUGCCGAGCGACCUGUCGUUAUCCGUGAAUUUUUUGAGAAAAAGACUAUUAUUGGGCAGAGUGAGAGUGAGAGUGAGAGUGAGAGAGUGAGAGUGAGUGAGAGAAAGAGAGAGAGCGAAAGAGAGAGAAAGAGAGAGAGAGAAAGAAAAUAUAGAGAGGAGGUGGAACGUCCUUUUGUAAGGAAUAUUAAGCGCGGAUAUAAUACGUUGAUGUACAAAAAUUCCUUGCGGUACAUUUUAAA